rnacentral:rRNA from 1 species
CAGUAGCCGCGGUAAUACAGAGUGUGCGAGCGUUAAUCGGAUUUACUGGGCGUAAAGCGUGCGUAGGCGGCUUCUUAAGUCGGAUGUGAAAUCCCUGAGCUUAACUUAGGAAUUGCAUUCGAUACUGGGAAGCUAGAGUAUGGGAGAGGAUUGUAGAAUUCCAGGUGUAGCGGUGAAAUGCGUAGAGAUCUGGAGGAAUACCGAUGGCGAAGGCAGCCAUCUGGCCUAAUACUGACGCUGAGGUACGAAAGCAUGGGGAGCAAACAGGAUUAGAUACCCGGGUAGUCCCUGUCUCUUAUAA